UUGUAUUUCGAAGUGUUGGUGACGCAUUUCAUUUUGAUUAGACAUUCAUAUUAGGGAAACAUAGCUCAAGCUGGAUAUUGCCUAGUGAUAUUUGGCAUGUUACAUUUCAAGUCCUGCUUGAUGGCACACAGGGGUGAUGAAUUGUUAUAUAGUAUUUGCAGUGUUUUGCAACAAAGAUGUAAACUGAUUAUAUCUAUUUUUUUUUUUGCAAUACGAGAUAUUACUCUAUAGAAGACCACCAAAGAAAGCUGUUGUACAAAAGAUAUCCAGUAAUACUGCAAACAAAGGACAAUACUGUAAUGGCAAAGUAACACAAUUGAUACUAGCCACGGAUCACCUAUCAGCAAGAAAUUUGGUAAGAUACAUAGUUUUAUGGUAGUAUAAUUUCCUGGUGUCAAUUUUAACCGACUAUUUGACUAGCAUGUAAAAACAAAUUCCAUUUUCGUGUUCCUUGGUUAAUUUUGAAUCAGAAUCAUCUAUAGUUAUCUAGAUUUAAUGCUAUUAUUUUUAUAUAGGAAAAAAUUUUAAGCCCGACAAUAUAAGCCCAGCUUAUUUUUUUAACCCAGCUUUUACCGUUUUUUACGUUUAUUCAAAAACUAUGAGGGCCACGAGAAAACCAUCCUCAUAUUCGUGAUGCCCGUUCAAUUCUGCAUCGAAACCAUGUAUUUAAAGCGAAAUCUAAAAUUUUGCCAAAAUUGAAAAAGUAAGAAGGCCUUCUCACUUUUCCAAUUUUCUUCAAAUCCUAGAUUUCAUUAAAAAUACUUUAUUCCGACUCGAAAUUGAUCGCUAAUCAGGAAAAUGUGGUUUAUUUUUAUAUCAGGCUUCUACUUUUUGAAUAAACCGUAAAAAACAGAAAGUCGGGCUUAUUUUGUCGGGUUUAUUUAGUCGGGCUUAAAAAUUUUUUCGGUCAGUGUACGCAGAGAAUUAACUAGAAACGUGACCGGUAGAUGGCGAUAGCAGUAUUCAAUUCGAUGGAUUGUCCGUUUUUUUAAUUGAACUUUAGAAAACGCCCCAUAGGUGGCUGAAUGUCCUUUUUUUAGGAAAGUGACAACUGUAAAACAUGGGACUGGAUUGCGGUAUUUACAUCGUGCAAUGCAGCUGUUUUUUUUUAUAUAUUGAAUAUUACGAUGCACUGUUUUUCGCCAGUGUGCUGUACCAUACUGUCGCGCCAACUUUGGUUUGGAAAAAGUCGGGCUUAUUUUUUUAGUCGUGCUUAUUUUCAAGCCCCUAACUUCUUGAACAUCGGGAGCCGUUGAGUGAAAUAAAACUGGAUACCUUACCAAUAGAUGGCUAUACCGUUUGGUGGGUCGUCUGCAGCAUAAAUCCAAGGUUCAUCAUAUGUGAUGGCAUUCGCGUUACCUUUUAGCCAAGCCCUACUCUACAAUGGGAUAAAUUUUUCGCAGAAUAAGAAUCUCCUAGACCUAUGUGUUGCUGUAUCAUUCUGAUGUGGUGUGACAGUACUGGUUGGUGGGGUUAUCUAGAAACAAACCUUUUCCAUUUCCCCAUCCAAUCUGUGAGACAACUUUGAUUAUUUGCUAUAGCUAGAACAGUAAUGCAAAGAGAAAAAAUGUUCACAUUUUCUUUAGUGAACUGUUCCCUCAUUGACAAAAAUAGGAAUAUUUAGUUGAAGCAACUCUGAUGAUAUUCAGUUGCAGUAAUUGGAUCUUGUUUCCCUUUUCAUGAAGGGUGUUUUGUCGUACCGGCAAUUGAAGAUGCUGCCAAAGAUUAUGGAUUUUCUUUCAAUAGCUACCACUCUGCGAAAGACGUCUUCCUAAACAAUUCGAAAAGAAAGUUCCAAAUGCCAAGCCGAUAGAGAUGGUUUACAUAUUGUCAAUCGAAAACUGUCUCUAUCGUGAAAAGGAUAUGGAUAUUUUGGUCAAGCCCUCACUCAUUGUGUGUUCAAAGUGAGUGACAUGGUUACGUUCACAUUGAAAAUGUAAUCCACAUCUCCUAUGUUAUGGUAUUUGUAUCUUUCAAAUUGAAGCACAAAGAUAGGUUUCUCAUCUUUUCUGUGGCCCCAUUUUACCUUGAUCUGAAUUUUCUCUGUCAUUCCAGGUUUCAUGAUGAAAUUUUGCAGCUAUCCGUAAAAGAUGUCAAGCAGUUACAUUUCCCUGUUUCAGAAUAGAAAACGAAAAGAGAUGCUAAAUUUUCAAAGAACGCUACCCAGACGACACAGCUAAUUGCUGAUUCAUCCCGAACAGUAAACAUAUUUAUUACCAUAAAUUAAAGUGCAUAUCUGGGCUCCCUUCUUUCUGUGGCCCCGUUUCCCCUAAAUUUCUAAUAAGCCCGUAGGGGGUCAUGCCCCUACUGUACGGUAUAUUUAAAAACAACAUAUACCGAGGUUUGGAGGGCUCUGGCCGGAAAGGGGACGUGGGGUUCCGCUUAGUCCGAUGAUGUGUUCACGGAGGGCGACGUGGAUGCCCACAAAUCCGAACUAAAGGUUAAUCGCUCCUGUAAAAAUGUUCCAAAUCUUCGGCUCUUCUUCCGGCUUCUCUUAGCCAAUCACCGGGUAAUCUCCCCGGUGGGUCAACAAGGCAGUGUCUCCCCCUGCCUGGGUUGACGGCAACUAUUGAAAGGGCUAUUGCGCCCUUUUAAAGUUGCAAAAAUAUUUCUAAUGUGCAGAGA